CAUUCAAACUAACACAAACCCGAUGAUGUUUACGCUUACAAUACAAUCAUCAACGCUCUUUGCAGAGUAGGGAACUUCAAAAAGGCUAGAUUCCUGUUGGAUCAGAUGCAGUUACCGAUAACUGUAGAUAUGGGAUGCAGAAAGGCGAUAAGGAGGAGGAUGUGGGAAGCUAAUAGAAUGUUUAGGGAAAUGCUGUUCAGAGUGUUUGCACCUGAUGUGGUUACUUACAACUGCUUGAUCGAUGGAUGCUGUAAAACUAACAGGAUUGGUCGUGCGUUGGAGCUGUUUGAAGAUAUGAAGAAGAGAGAGUGUGUCCCAAACAGUGUGACCAAUGAGAUAGAACGUGGGGUUGAGAUGAUGAGGAUGAUGGGUCACGGUGUACCUGGUUCAAGCACGAACACGCCGCUGAUUCACGCUCUUGUUGAGACAAGGAGAGUGGCAGAGGCUCGUGGAGAUGGUGGAGGCCGGGUUGGUUCCUAGAGAGUAUACAUAUAAGUUGGUGUUGGAUGCUUUGACCUCAGAAGGAAUGAUGGUACAUAAGAGAAUGAGACAAGGAAUAGACCAGAGAUAUAGAAGCGCCAUGGAGAUCAAACCGGUCAUGUCCCGAAAAGAGGAUUUUCAUAAGAACCAUGAAAAAUGAUUUUUUCUUCUUUUCCUGCUCAAACCUUGUAUUGUGCUACUAUCUCUCCAGUCUUCUCAUCCGAACAAGGGCUCUCUCGUAAAAUCACUACGUGAAGCUGCUACUACACUGUCACAAAUCGAGCAGCCUUUAGUUACUGAAACUGUGAGCAAGAAACAAGCUCUGAAACUGCUUGAAGCUGAGCUGAAACCGCUGAAGAAAUCCAUUAUCAAGCAUGACCUUCUUAAGAAUCGUUGAUAACGACGUGAAUCUAUUAGUUACUGUUUGCGUCAGUGAGAGCUUUCGGAUUCUGGCACCUGAGCCACCUUUUGAAGACAAGUAUCUCAGGGAUAUCUUCAACCUCUUUCUUGCUGAGUUCUCUGAUACUGUAAGCCCCUACUUCUCGAGAAGGGCAAAGAUCUUGAAGACAGUUUCUCGAUAGCAAAUGUUGUAUGCUAAUGCUGGACGUGGACUGCCAUGACUUAACACGUUUUUCUCUGUUGUGAGGGAGCACUAUCAACAGAAUUUAGUUCAUCAGAAGAAUGCUAAAGUGCAGCAGCGAGAGGCUAACACGCAGCAAGCGCAACAAAGUUUAUUCAAUGACAUUCUAACCAUAAUGACUGAUAUUCUGAAAGAAGAGGCGAGUUCGUCACUUGUCGGUGUUAUUCUUCAAAAUCUAGUGAAGGAGGGAAAGGUAUGGAUGUACAGAGAUUAAUUAUCUAUCGAUUAUGAUUUGCACAAUUCUGAAGAUCAAAUACUGGUAUUUAUUAUGCAUUUGCGCUUUAAUAAACGUGUGAUCUUACUUUUCUGUACUUGUUUUCGUCGCCUCAUCUACACUAACAGUAUUCGCUUAUCUCUUAAAAUCUGGUGCUCACAGAUCCCGAGGGUUCGCAAACCUUAUGUUGCUCACUUUAUUAGUUUAAUCUGAUGCUUGCUUCAGGAUCAAGAUGUAGAAGAAAUGAAAAAAAAAAAAAACAGAAAAGCUAUUUUGUACAGCUUUCAGCUUGCUUUCCAGACGCCUCUAAGGCAAAAGAUUUCUUUCACAAAUUCGACCAAAUGGACGACACCUCAAUUUUUGAUGCUUUAACUCUACUGCUGGAUGAACUGACAUUCACAAAAGCUCCGACUAUUAGAGAGAAGUUUCUCGAGAGAAUUGGUGCAAAUCAUUAAAUUUUUGACUUCCUGCGCAUACUUUCUACAAAAUGUGCCCCUACUAUAUUUAGCUCAGAGCAUGUUCGGUAUCUUCUGGAACAGCUUUCUAACAGCACCUCUGCUGACACGCAGUUGAAGGCUUCUGUCAUCAAACUUCUUCUGGUAAUCCUCAACAUGUUCCCUUCUUACCUGAGAGGUUCAGAAAAAAAAAACAGUUUUCGGAGCUGUUAGAGGACAAUGAUUCAUUCGCUGACGAGGUAACUGAAGCUUUGUCAAAGGCAGCUCCAUAUAUUUCUGCCAACUUCAGUGACUAUUCCACUGUUCUGGAGAAGAUGUGUUUGGAGGGUACUCGUUCUCAGGCAAAACAUGCUGUUUCUGCCAUUGCUUCGUUGGCUAGACAUUUGAAAAAUCUGUCUUUUCCAAGUUAUGCAAGGACUCCAAUGCUUUUAUUACCAUGACUUUUCUCACCAAAUUACACAAGCUAUUGAUGGAAAAUAUGAUACCCAGCCAGAAGAUACGCAUGUGCUUUUUCGUUUUCCAUCCAUCUGUGAUCCAUGCAGAGAUCAGCAAAAUGAUAAAUGCUACAAGAGAAGCUGGGGGUGUAGAUCAACGGGAAGUAGAUCACUCACUGAUUGUCCAGAUUAACAUGAUAGUGUUCCUGAUCCAUGUUCUUGCACAUGACCCGGAUUUCCCUUCAGAAGACUGCAUGGAUGAGCAUGUAUAUGCUCGGUUUUGUGGCCCUAUGUUGUCGGUGUUACUUAGUAACAAGGAAACCGUCCUUAUCUUGUUUUCUAUCUUACGGGCAAUUAAAAGAGCUGAAGAUGCUUGUAAAACUCCGUUAAGUUUGACGUGGUAGCACUGAAUAAACGUAUGCUUCUUUACCAUGCGUGAAAUCCGGCCUGGUGGAUUGAGGGGAAACCACAGAGACACCAUACAUAUAAUGAGACGUUCGUCAAUGUGAGGAGCCAGCCAGCCAGCCAAGACAAUGGGAGAACGGAGUUCCCAAUGAGUUGAUUGUGGGGACGAGGAAGAGAUCUUCUGUUCAGAGUGGAGGUGGAAGCUUUUAGUAGUGAGAAGAUAUUCCUACCAAGUCUGUAUUUGGGAGUCGGAUGGUGAAAAGCUGGGGAUAUCACUUGUGUCAUGUUCAGUAUCCAUAUGAUAGAAGAAAGAGAUAUCAAGAUGUGAAAUAUUGUAGGUUUUUUUUUUUUGUUUUUCUUUUGGGUGUGUGUUUGUGGUUGAUGCAUUGACAUGAGAUUAUCAGGUUGUACCAUGUUUUGUUCUGCUCUCAUUAUUUCAAAAGCAGAACAUGUGCGCAACCUUGUUCAUAAACUGUUGCAAAUGUUAUUGUGAUGCUCCGUUUUUUGCACGAGAAACCAGUGAAGUGAAUGAGCACACAAUCAUAAGUAGUAAUAUUUUUGAGAUA